GACGAACGCUGGCGGCGUGCCUAAUACAUGCAAGUAGAACGCACAGUUUAUACCGUAGCUUGCUACACCAUAGACUGUGAGUUGCGAACGGGUGAGUAACGCGUAGGUAACCUGCCUGGUAGCGGGGGAUAACUAUUGGAAACGAUAGCUAAUACCGCAUAAUAUUGAUUAUUGCAUGAUAAUUAAUUGAAAGGUGCAAUUGCACCACUACCAGAUGGACCUGCGUUGUAUUAGCUAGUAGGUGAGGUAACGGCUCACCUAGGCGACGAUACAUAGCCGACCUGGGAAGGUGAUCGGCCACACUGGGACUGAGACACGGCCCAGACUCCUACGGGAGGCAGCAGUAGGGAAUCUUCGGCAAUGGACGAAAGUCUGACCGAGCAACGCCGCGUGAGUGAAGAAGGUUUUCGGAUCGUAAAGCUCUGUUGUAAGAGAAGAACGGGUGUGAGAGUGGAAAGUUCACACUGUGACGGUAGCUUACCAGAAAGGGACGGCUAACUACGUG
rnacentral:rRNA from 1 species